GAUGAACGCUGGCGGCGUGCCUAAUACAUGCAAGUCGAGCGAACGGACGAGAAGCUUGCUUCUCUGAUGUUAGCGGCGGACGGGUGAGUAACACGUGGAUAACCUACCUAUAAGACUGGGAUAACUUCGGGAAACCGGAGCUAAUACCGGAUGAUAUUUUGAACCGCAUGGUUCAAAAGUGAAAGACGGUCUUGCUGUCACUUAUAGAUGGAUCCGCGCUGCAUCAGCUAGUUGGUAAGGUAACGGCUUACCAAGGCAACGAUGCAUAGCCGACCUGAGAGGGUGAUCGGCCACACUGGAACUGAGACACGGUCCAGACUCCUACGGGAGGCAGCAGUAGGGAAUCUUCCGCAAUGGGCGAAAGCCUGACGGAGCAACGCCGCGUGAGUGAUGAAGGUCUUCGGAUCGUAAAACUCUGUUAUUAGGGAAGAACAUAUGCGUAAGUAACUGUGCACAUCUUGACGGUACCUAAUCAGAAAGCCACGGCUAACUACGUG
rnacentral:rRNA from 1 species